rnacentral:rRNA from 1 species
UACGUAGGGGGCAAGCGUUAUCCGGAUUUACUGGGUGUAAAGGGAGCGUAGACGGCAAGGCAAGUCUGAUGUGAAAACCCAGGGCUUAACCCUGGGACUGCAUUGGAAACUGUCUGGCUCGAGUGCCGGAGAGGUAAGCGGAAUUCCUAGUGUAGCGGUGAAAUGCGUAGAUAUUAGGAAGAACACCAGUGGCGAAGGCGGCUUACUGGACGGUAACUGACGUUGAGGCUCGAAAGCGUGGGGAGCAAACAGGAUUAGAUACCCCCCGGCUGACUGACU